ACCUUCGGGGGACGAUAACGGCGUCGAGCGGCGGACGGGUGAGUAAUGCCUAGGAAAUUGCCCUGAUGUGGGGGAUAACCAUUGGAAACGAUGGCUAAUACCGCAUGAUGCCUACGGGCCAAAGAGGGGGACCUUCGGGCCUCUCGCGUCAGGAUAUGCCUAGGUGGGAUUAGCUAGUUGGUGAGGUAAGGGCUCACCAAGGCGACGAUCCCUAGCUGGUCUGAGAGGAUGAUCAGCCACACUGGAACUGAGACACGGUCCAGACUCCUACGGGAGGCAGCAGUGGGGAAUAUUGCACAAUGGGCGCAAGCCUGAUGCAGCCAUGCCGCGUGUAUGAAGAAGGCCUUCGGGUUGUAAAGUACUUUCAGUCGUGAGGAAGGUGGUAGUGUUAAUAGCGCUAUCAUUUGACGUUAGCGACAGAAGAAGCACCGGCUAACUCCGUGCCAGCAGCCGCGGUAAUACGGAGGGUGCGAGCGUUAAUCGGAAUUACUGGGCGUAAAGCGCAUGCAGGUGGUUUGUUAAGUCAGAUGUGAAAGCCCGGGGCUCAACCUCGGAAUAGCAUUUGAAACUGGCAGACUAGAGUACUGUAGAGGGGGGUAGAAU
rnacentral:rRNA from 1 species